rnacentral:lncRNA from 1 species
CCCGAGCAUAGAGGAAAUAUUUGGCUUUUCAGUGCAGACUGGCCUGAGGUUUUUAAAUAUGUUCUUUGUUGUUUUUUUUUUUUUUUUUUUGAGACAGAGUCUCGCUCUGUCGCCCAGGCUGGAGUGCAGUGGCGUUUUCUUGGCUCACUGCAAGCUCUGCCUCCCGGGUUGACACCAUUUUCCUGCCUCAGCCUCCUGAGUAACUGGGACUACAGGCACCCGCCACCACGCCUGGCUAUUUUUUUCCAUUUUUAGUAGAGACGGGGUUUCACCAUGUUAGCCAGGAUGGUCUCGAUCUCCUGACCUGGUGAUCCGCCCGCCUCGGCCUCCCAAAGUGCUGGGAUUACAGGCAUGAGCCACCGCGCCCGGCCUUAAACACGUUGUUUAAUACAGCCUCACUCAUGGUUUCCUGAGGCAUCUGAAGAAUGAAACACCUCAGGGAAGACAGAGAAGAGGUCACGUGAACACACCAAAAAGAUGGCCAUUGUCCAUGAGCUGGAAAGAGAGCCCUCACCAGAACCCAGCCAUCCUGCACCCUGAUCAUGGACUUCUAGCCUCGAGAAUUGUGAGAAAAUAAAUCUCUGUUAUUUGACUACCUGUG